rnacentral:rRNA from 1 species
GAGGAUAACAGGACGAAAGUCUUGCUAAUACUGCGUAAUCUUUAUCUAGUUAGAGAGGAUAAAGGAAAGCCGGAAGGCGUUUUGGGAGGGGCCUGCGACCCAUCAGCUAGUUGGUAGGGUAAAAGCCUACCAAGGCAACGACGGGUAGGGGGCCUGAGAGGGUGAUCCCCCACACUGGCACUGAAACACGGGCCAGACACCUACGGGUGGCAGCAGUAGGGAAUAUUGCACAAUGGGCGAAAGCCUGAUGCAGCAACGCCGCGUGCACGAUGAAGGCCUUCGGGUCGUAAAGUGCUUUUCUGUAGGACGAGAGAGGACGGUACUGCAGGAAUAAGGAUCGGCUAACUACGUGCCAGCAGCCGCGGUAACACGUAGGAUCCGAGCGUUAUCCGAAUUCACUGGGCGUAAAGCGCUUGCAGGCGGCUGGGUAAGUUGGAUGUAAAAUCUUCUGGCUCAACUGGGAGAUGCCGUUCAAGACUGCCUGGCUAGAGGGCGAUAGAGGGAGGUGGAAUUCCCGGUGUAGUGGUGAAAUGCGUAGAUAUCUGGAGGAACACCGGUGGCGAAGGCGGCAUCCUGGACCGAGAUCGACGCUGAGGCGCGAAAGCUAGGGGAGCAAACGGAAUUAGAUACCCCGGUAGUCCUAGCCCUAAACGAUGAAUGCUUGGUGUGGCGGGUAUCGAUCCCUGCCGUGCCGAAGCUAACGCAUUAAG